rnacentral:rRNA from 1 species
AUUGAACGCUGGCGGCAUGCCUUACACAUGCAAGUCGAACGGCAGCGGACCUUCGGGUGCCGGCGAGUGGCGAACGGGUGAGUAAUAUAUCGGAACGUACCUUUCAGUGGGGGAUAACGUAGCGAAAGUUACGCUAAUACCGCAUAUUCUGUGAGCAGGAAAGCAGGGGAUCGCAAGACCUUGCGCUGAUUGAGCGGCCGAUAUCAGAUUAGCUAGUUGGUGAGUAAAGGCUCACCAAGGCGACGAUCUGUAGCGGGUCUGAGAGGAUGAUCCGCCACACUGGAACUGAGACACGGUCCAGACUCCUACGGGAGGCAGCAGUGGGGAAUUUUGGACAAUGGGCGCAAGCCUGAUCCAGCCAUGCCGCGUGAGUGAAGAAGGCC